CAGACCGUAUUGGAUCAGACGUAACAGGUAUUUCCUAUCAUCGAUAGACGCUGUCGACAGCGCAUUUUAACUUUGUCGUGAUCGCGAUCCCGAAUAAAAACAUGUAAUCGGAAGGCUUUCCGGAUGAGAGCAAUAAAAACGAAAGUAAUAAAAGGCUGGAGGGUAAGUUAUCGUGUUACGGCGAUAGUUGUUGAAGAUUUACAACAGUUUGCCGAGCAUUUUACCGGCUCGGCAAAGAUACAAAGUUUUCUUCGGUCUCCGAGAAACCCAAACAAUUGUGUUCCAUCACGGAGGAAACAGUUAUUCGGAUUUAUAGCGACUUUCAACGGUAAACACUGUUAUAAAGAACUGGAAGCUAUUAAAGUUUCAUUAUCAAUAAAGUACCGUAGAGCUCCGUGUAAUACGGGUUCGUUUAACUUCCUAGAACAUGGCGCAAAAAUUACGGCAGUGCUCACACAACACUGUAAGUACACGGUGUUUACAUUGUAACAGUGCACCCAAACAAGAUAUGAAGAUAAAAGAUUGUAAAACUACCGUGGAGAAACGGUGAGCAAAACGAAAGUAAAAGUGACUUAUUUUCUACCUCACAGAUGUACACAUGGACGAGAAUUGUCCUAUAUUUGUUACUUAUAUUUUUUACUUAGUUUUUAUUUACUUUCUAUUAUUUUAUGAUUGACUUGUCUUUUAUAUAUACACAUGUGUUUCCAAAUGCAUAGACAAGUCAUGUGUAACCUACAUACAUGUGUAACACGAAUUCAAUAAAAUAGAACGUAUCUCGUGUUAUAUGGCCGUCGGCUGUAUGAUAUAAUAUUUUUGUCAAUAUAUUCAUGUCAAAAUAA